rnacentral:ncRNA from 1 species
CUAAAUAGGUUGUAGAUUUGAUUUUGGUCUUUUAAGUUAGUUUUAUUUAUAAUAUUAAAUAUAAGUUUUUGCGGGGUUUAAUUUUUCUAAAUGAUUUAUUAAUUUUUUAUUUUUAGUUUUUAAUUUUGUUGAUUUAUAUUUUUAUAAUUUCAGUUAUUAUUUAAUUUGGAUGGUAAAAUAUUGUGCCAGCAUACGCGGUUAUACAAUUUAUUCUAAUUAACUUUAUUUGGUUUAAUAUUUGUUUUUAUAUUGUUGAAAAUUAAUUUUAUUUAUUUUGGGUGGAAUUUUAUAUUAUUUAUAAUUUUUUGGAUAAAUAGUUAUAUGGAACUUGGUUUUUAGACUAGGAUUAGAUACCCUAUUAUUCUAAGCGUUAAAUUUAACCAUUUUAUUAUUAGUGAGGUCUUGAAAAUAAAAAGAUUUGGCGGUAAUUUAGUCUUUUCAGAGGAACCUGUUUUUUAAUCGAUGAUCCACGUUGGAUUUUACUUUAAUUUUUAGUUUGUAUAUCUCUGUCAUUGAAUGUUUUUUGAGAAAAUUUUCUUAUUUUUGUUAAUUCAUAAUAUGUCAGGUCAAGGUGCAGCAAUAUUGAAGAUUUAAUGGGUUACAUUUAAUGUUAUUUAUUGGUUUUAUAUCUUGUAUUAAGUAUAAAUAAAUAGGAUUUGAAAGUAAUUUUUUUUAUUUUUUAAUUAUGAUUACAGCUCUAUAUUAUGUACACAUCGCCCGUCGCUUUCAUUUUUAAGAUGGAAUAAGUCGUAACAAAGUAAUUUUACUGGAAAGUGAGGUUGGAAUUAU